rnacentral:misc_RNA from 1 species
UACGUAGGGGGCGAGCGUUGUCCGGAAUUAUUGGACGUAAAGCGCGCGUAGGCGGCCCGGUAAGUCCGCUGUGAAAGUCAAAGGCUCAACCUUUGGAUGCCGGUGGAUACUGCCGGGCUAGAGUCCGGAAGAGGCGAGUAGAAUUCCUGGUGUAGCGGUGGAAUGCGCAGAUAUCAGGAGGAAUACCUAUAGCGAGGGCAGCUCGCUGGGACGGUACUGACGCUAAGGCACGAAAGCGUGGGGAGCGAACAGG